rnacentral:lncRNA from 1 species
UGCAUUCUAUCUUGUUGGGAUCCCCGUUGCACUCUUUUUUGGUUUUACAAUGCAACUAAGAGGAAUGGGAUUUUGGAUUGGCAUGAUAGCUGGUGGAGCCACACAGGUCACUCUCCUAUCUGUGAUAACUGCCACUACAAAAUGGGACAAGAUGGUAAGUUCUUUCUCCAUUUUAAAGUCUGUUUCUUAUCCAUAACACUUCGUUGAUGUCGCCAAUGCUUCUCCUUUCCGUGAAUCUUUCAUUGCUAUAACUGAGGUUUCCUCUAUCUAAACCCUAAACAACAGGACCCUGGGAUAAAAAAUAAAUAAAAUAAAUAUGUGGCAUGCUGUUGGAAAUCAAACGUGAUUCCAAGUUCAUUGAUACGUCAACGUGCUUGAUUUUCUCCGGGACACUUUUUUUUACUCUUGUCACUGCCCAAUCAUCCAUCAAUGGACCUCUGCCCCUCUGCCGGUGUUGUCCCAAGAUGGAGAAGGGGGAAGGUGAUUGAAACAAAAUUCAGUCUAAACUCUGAAGCGACCUAUACCUGGUUUAAAUUCACAGUUUUGCUAGGCCGCAGGUGCAUGUUAUUUUGUUUUCACGGGCCAUCGCCCCGCUUUGAUGGAUGCGUGAUUAAUGAACUAAGACUAAUUUAUCAACAAUUGGACGGUUAAGAAAAAAAUGGAGGUUGUAUAUCGCUGUGACUGAUGUUAUGCGAAAGAAACCAGUAAUACUUCAUAAGAAUUGGAUCAGAUUGGCCUAGAUGCUUGUUUCCUAUAUUGCUUUGAAGUCAUACCUGUGAACUAUGAUGUAUAUAUAAGUUAUAUUGUGUCUAUUUGCAGGCUGACAAGGCUAAGGAGAGAGUAUUUGAAGACAGGCUUCCAACACAAUAAGACUUGAAGAGGUGCCAUGUCAAAAUUUUGAAGAGCUAAAUAAUCAGAGAGUUCUAAUUACCUUUAAUUACUUUGAGAAAAGCAUCAUCGAUGUUCUUGUCACGCGCAAAGAAAAUUUUCACACAAUUGGCUCAGUUUGGCAUGGUGUGGUUUCAUGGUGGACUGGUGGUGUUUUACUGUUUUUUCUUUCUUGAUAGGUUGUUUUGCGUGGUGCCUAUCUUCCCUUGUAUUGGAUUUUUUUUGCGGGCAAGCUUUGUAUUAGUCAAUCACUGCCGGGCUUACAUUCUUUAUCACAAAGAUCAACUGUCUUUGCAGGACGCGGUCUAACAACAGUUAUACCCUCA